rfam:Pan troglodytes isolate Yerkes chimp pedigree #C0471 (Clint) chromosome 2B, whole genome shotgun sequence.
GCUGGGCGUGGUGGCGCAUGCCUGUAAUCCCAGCUACUCGGGAGGCUGAGGCAGAAGAAUCACUUGAACCCAGGAGGUGGAGGUUGCAGUGAGCCGAGAUUGCACCACUACACUCCAGCCUGGGCAACAGAGUGAGACUCUGUCUCCA